AUGUGUGAUUUACUUGAAGACGAUGACCUUAUAAAAUGUCAACUGCCUAACAAACUAAGUAGCAUAAUUUAUAAAAAAAGAAAAAAUCGAAAUAAAAAAAUGCAUAUUUUAAAUAAUGAAAAACAUAUCAUUUUACCAUCACACAAAAUUUCAAAUGAAUAUAAAAAAAACAUCGAUCAUAUUAAUUAUAAUUAUGAAGAGUUGCAUGUAUAUAUGGAAAUAAAUACUGGAAGUGUCAAUGAAAAAAAAAAUCAACAAGGUAUCAGUCAUUUAUGUGAACAUGUAUCUUAUAUGGGAUCAAAGAAUAGAAAAAAUAUAUUAGAUAAAAACAUCCGAACUAAUGCAUACACCGAUUUUCAUCAUAUCGUUUUUUAUAUAAGUGUAAGUAUGAACAACGAAAUAUAUAAAGAUUAUAUGCUUAAUGACUUCAAGUGUGAUAAUAAAGUUGAAAAUAUUAAAGAAGAAAAUAUUGAAGAUUAUGAUAUUUAUACACUUGACGAGUUUAAUUAUAAACACGACAUUUUAUCGAAAUGUAUUGAUACAAUGGUUGAAGUGUUAAAAGGAGAUACACAAUUUACCAAAGAAAGAAUAACAAAAGAAAAAAAAGCUAUUUUUUCGGAAUAUAGUAUUAUUAACACAGUAGAAUAUAAAAUAAAUUCAGACAUUAUUAAAACGUUGCACAGAGAAAAUAGAUUAAGCCACAGAUUACCAAUUGGCAAACUCGAACUUCUAAAACGAUACGAAGAGAAAGACGUAAAAGAAUACUUUGAUUUAUUUUUUCGUCCGGAAAAUGCAAAUAUAUAUGUGUAUGGUGAUGUGAACACAGACAUUACACAAAGUUUAAUAAAUAACAAGUUUAAAAAUAUAAUAAAAAAAAAAUUAACAAAAGAUGAUCAAAUAUAUAUGGAUAUUUUAACAGAAAAUACUUUAAGGAGUACAAAUAAAAAUUUGCCAGCUGUUGUUCAUAAGUUUAGUGACAAUUUGUUGGAUAAAACUGCAAAUAUUUGUAAUAAUGGAAGUAAUAUUACAUCCGAAAUGGAGAUAAAAGAAUCUAACUGUUUUAACACUGACCAGAAUAAAUCAAAUGAGUCAGCAAAUCUGGUCAACUUAAUUCAACCAACCUUUUUACAUGACCCACCCGAACCCCCUUGUGAAUAUAUAGAUGAUAAUAUUGUCGAUAGUGAAAAAUUUAAAGAGUUAACAAAAAAUCCUGACCCAAUUAUAAAUGAAUUAAAAUUCAGAUCUUAUUUAGAAAAAAAAUAUGCUGUUAAUUUAGAAGAAGAAAAAAGCUUAAAUAAGUCAAACAUAAAAAAUAACGAAACCCUUUUUGAAAUUUUUAAUUAUGCAUUAAACAAUGUUACUAUCAACAUUUUAGCAAAAGAAAAAAUAAAAGGAAUUAAAACAAUGCAAGAUUUAAAAAUUUCGAUUAUAAAAGACAUUAUAUUUUAUUGUUUAUCUUUUAGGUUCAAUAUCCAAAGACAACAUCUGUUUAACAAUAUCGACAUAAAUGAAUAUACUAACAUAAAUGAAGGUGCAACUAUAAAAACUAUAGAAAUUAAAACAAAUGUACAAACUUUUGAUAAAACAAUUCAAAUGUUUUAUAAUUUUAUUAAAAGUUUAAUGCAAUAUGGGUUUAGUAAUGAUGAGUUGGAAAAUUAUAAAAUUAAUAAAAUGUAUGAUGAUUUGUGCGAGGAUAGUUACACCGAUGUUGUGGAAACGGGUUCUACAUCUGGGAGUGAUACAACUACUACUACUACUACUACUACUACUACUGCAACUACUACCACUACUACUACCAAUACUACUAUCACACCCCACAGUGGUAAAAAUAGUAAAUUGAUCCACCCCGAAAAAGAAGACGAAUUUAUACAGGACAAUAAAAUAAACGAAACGUAUGCUGAUGAAAUACAAAAAAUAAUCGAUUAUAAUUCAUGUAAGCAUAUUUAUAUGAAUGAAAAAAGAGAAAAAAUAAUAAGAAAACAAAUAUUUAAUAAUUUAACAAUCGAAGAAAUUAAUUUAUUUGCUAAGAAUUAUUUCAAAUAUUUAUUUAAUGUAUUUACUCAAAAUACAAAUUUUAAACCAAAUUGUAUUAUUGUUCAUGUACCUAAUGAAUCUUCUCACUUAUUUGAUAAACAAAAAAUCAAAAAAUUGUUUUAUAAUAAUAUAUAUUCAACUGAACAUGUUCCUGACUAUUCUUUUAGUAUUCAAAAUAAAUUAUUAUCAGAUAAUUACAUUUUUGAAAAUAUAACAAAAAAUGUGAAUCAAUCCAAAUAUAUAAACAACAAAAAUAGAAGUGCUAAUCUUAAUAAUAGCAAAACUAUUUUUGAUUAUAUCUUUCACAAAUUAGAAAAUAUAAAAAAUAACAACACAUUGACACAGUUGAGUUAUGGUAGAGAUAGUAGUACUACCGAAGGAUAUAGCCCCUAUAGCGACAAUAACAUUUUAUGUUCUAUUCACGAUUUAAAUACAAUUCCUAACUUUAAUUUUUUUCAAAAUUGUUAUAAUAUAAAUAAUAUACAACUAAAAAACGAACUAGGUGAUCAUACAGAACACAUAACUGAUAGAACAGAAUUAUAUUCGUUAAAACGGGGGGAGCAAAAUGAAAAAUAUUUAAAAUUGAAAAAAAAAAAAAAAGACAUAAACGGGUAUGACAGGCUAUAUACAGAUACAGAAAGGUCAUCUAAUAUGGAUAAGGAGUUAACCAAUACUUUUACAGAUGCACCGCAUAAUACUUUUACAGACGUACCACAUAAUACUUUUACAGACGUACCNNNNNNNNNNACCAUACUACACAUCCCCGACGCAACAACAAAUCCAAAACUUCGAAUUAUUAAACGGAAUAAAAAUAAAUAUAUACAAAACCCAAAUCGAUAA
ensembl:lncRNA